AAGCCAUGUUGAGGAUAAUUUCUUAAAUGACCUUUGUACUUCUCCCAAGCUACGUAUAAGAAUUCACCUAUUUCUUGUUGGAUGUAGUAAUCUUCUUCUUUAGUUU